GACGAACGCUGGCGGCGUGCUUAACACAUGCAAGUCGAACGGAAAGGCCCUGCUAUUUUGGGGUGCCCGAGUGGCGAACGGGUGAGUAACACGUGAGUAACCUGCCCUUGACUUUGGGACAACUUCAGGUAACUGGGGCUAAUACCGGAUAGGAGCUCCUGCUGCCUGGAGGGGGUCGGAUAGUUUCGGCGGUUGGGGAUGGACUCGCGGCUGAUCAGAUCGUUGGUGGGGUAGUGGCUUACCAAAGCUUUGACGGGUAGCUGACCUGAGAGGGGGGCCAGCCACGUUGGUACUGAUGUACGGCCCAGUGUCCGACGGGAGGCAACAGUGGGGAGUGUUGCACAAUGAGCGGAAGCCGGUUGCAGCAACGCCGCGGUGGUGAAGACCGCUUUCAGGAUGGUAACCGCUUUCGCCUGUGACGAAGCGUGUGUGACGGUAAUCGGUAAAGAAGCACCGGCUAACUACGUG
rnacentral:rRNA from 1 species